rnacentral:rRNA from 1 species
UACGGAGGGUGCAAGCGUUAAUCGGAAUGACUGGGCGUAAAGCGCACGCAGGCGGUCUGUUAAGCCAGAUGUGAAAGCCCCGGGCUCAACCUGGGAACUGCAUUUGGAACUGGCAGGCUAGAGUCUUGGAGAGGGGGGUAGAAUUUCCGGUGUAGCGGUGAAAUGCGUAGAGAUCGGAAGGAAUACCAGUGGCGAAGGCGGCCCCCUGGCCAAAGACUGACGCUCAGGUGCGAAAGCGUGGGGAGCAAACAGG